GAUGAACGCUGGCGGCGUGCCUAAUACAUGCAAGUCGAGCGAACAGACGAGGAGCUUGCUCCUCUGACGUUAGCGGCGGACGGGUGAGUAACACGUGGAUAACCUACCUAUAAGACUGGGAUAACUUCGGGAAACCGGAGCUAAUACCGGAUAAUAUAUUGAACCGCAUGGUUCAAUAGUGAAAGACGGUUUUGCUGUCACUUAUAGAUGGAUCCGCGCCGGAUUAGCUAGUUGGUAAGGUAACGGCUUACCAAGGCAACGAUGCGUAGCCGACCUGAGAGGGUGAUCGGCCACACUGGAACUGAGACACGGUCCAGACUCCUACGGGAGGCAGCAGUAGGGAAUCUUCCGCACUGGGCGAAAGCCUGACGGAGCAACGCCGCGUGAGUGAUGAAGGUCUUCGGAUCGUAAAACUCUGUUAUUAGGGAAGAACAAAUGUGUAAGUAACUAUGCACGUCUUGACGGUACCUAAUCAGAAAGCCACGGCUAACUACGUG
rnacentral:rRNA from 1 species